rnacentral:sRNA from 1 species
UUCACUAUUGAGCAGAUCAAAGAAGCAGCUGCAAAAAUGAGAGCGUGAAGAGUCUUUAGAUAGAUACCAAGGAGUGGUUAUUGGUUUGUAUAAUUGUAUGCGAAAAGUAUUAAUAAUUACAUGAAUAGCUCUCCCUUUGUCAAAUUGUAAUGUAUAUCAUUUGUAAACGUAUAUAUUAUUUACUUCUACGACGAGAGUAAUCGUAGGUAGGCCUGGGACUAAAAUCCGUUAUCCGCGGGUAUUCGAAUCCGGAUCCGUGAUCCGAUCCAGAAAACCGAAUAACCGGGUGCGACGGAUCCGGAUACGGGUAAAGCAUUUACGAAUCCGGCGGAUCCGGAUACGGAUCCGGAUUAUGAAAAAAAUCAGAGCCGAAUAUCCGCAUCCGUUCAAUAUGUCUACAUAUUUGUAUUAUGGGCUUAAAUUAUAUUUGUAUCCUGGGCUUAAUCAAAUACACAUUAUCAAUGUUAAGCCCAAUAGUCCAAUAUUAGCCCACUACGACAAAAUGAUGGAAUUUGAGUUUGUUUGGGACUUAACUAUUAGGGUUUCAUAACAUAUUUUUUCUGCCGCCGUGAAUGUUUUCUCCAUCACCAUUUCCUUCACUAUCUCCAUCUCAUCUCCAUCUAAUCUCCAUCACCGUCUCCCCACCAUAUUCAUCUCGGUUCCACCGUCGUAAAUUUAUGGACGGAAGUUUACUUACGGGAAUGAUGAUACAUGGGAUUCAAAGUGUCGACGGCGGAGAUGAAUGAGGAGGAGCAGAUUGGACACCGUUAAAGACGAGAUCUUGGUGGUAUGUGCCUUGCAAAGUCUGAUGUCGGGCACACGUCGAUCUCUUUUGGUGGUGAAUUCAAUCUGGUUGGUGAAAUAGGAAAUUGAAUUUGUUCCCAAAAAUAAACGGAUCCCGAAUAUCCGCGGAUAUCCAGUUUUUUCACGGAUAUUCGAAAUCCGGAUAUCCGAGGUUUACGGAUCCGGAUGCGGAUCCUAAAACUACAUAUCCGCCGGAUACGGAUACGGAUCCGGAUACUCCAAAAAACCCGGAUAUCCGGAUCCGUAACAGGCCUAAUCGUAGGUUGGUAAAUUCUAGAAAAAUAAGAGAUAUAAAAACUAUAUAGUUGUGACAUAUUCAUUAUUCAAUAUGAGCCAUGGCUACACAAACUAUAUAGUUGUGACAUUUUCAUUAUUCAAUAUGAGCCAUGGCUACACAAACUAUAUAGCUGUGACAUAUCAUACACAGAAUAAUAUUCCCAUGAAUGCAUGUAUAUAUAGAUCCUUUGGUUUUCCACCGAAUAGUACAAACGUGUAUAUGAUAAAAGUUU